rnacentral:hammerhead_ribozyme from 1 species
AUCCAGCUGGCGUGCCCCAAAUAGGAGGAAACGUGCGUCCUGGAU